GGGAAGAGCACCGGAUCUUCGGCUGUUUCCCCGGUGCCCUGUGCUCCCGGGCCUGCCCUGCUGGAAUCGCGCUCCCGGCCGCGCAGACCCCU
rnacentral:pre_miRNA from 1 species